GACGAACGCUGGCGGCGUGCUUAACACAUGCAAGUCGAACGGAAAGGCCCUGCUUUUGUGGGGUGCUCGAGUGGCGAACGGGUGAGUAACACGUGAGUAACCUGCCCUUGACUUUGGGAUAACUUCAGGAAACUGGGGCUAAUACCGGAUAGGAGCUCCUGCUGCAUGGUGGGGGUUGGAAAGUUUCGGCGGUUGGGGAUGGACUCGCGGCUUAUCAGCUUGUUGGUGGGGUAGUGGCUUACCAAGGCUUUGACGGGUAGCCGGCCUGAGAGGGUGACCGGCCACAUUGGGACUGAGAUACAGCCCAGCCUCCUACGGGAGGCAGCAGUGGGGAAUAUUGCACAAUGGGCGGAAGCCUGAUGCAGCAACGCCGCGUGCGGGAUGACGGCCUUCGGGUUGUAAACCGCUUUCGCCUGUGACGAAGCGUGAGUGACGGUAAUGGGUAAAGAAGCACCGGCUAACUACGUG
rnacentral:rRNA from 1 species